rnacentral:lncRNA from 10 species
CAAAGACGCGGGCUUCUUGCAAUUGAGCCCCCCACCUCGAGGGAGGGAGUUCUCACAAGAUCUGAUGGUUUAAGCGUGGCAGUUUCCCCUGAGCUCUCCUUCCUGCUGGUAUGUAAGGCGUGCUUUGCUUCCUCUUCACCUUCCGCCAUGAUUGUACAUUUCCUGAGGCCUCCCCAGCCAUGCAGAACUGCAUACAACUUAGGAUUCAUAACUACAUAUAUACGGAUAGAAGUGCAUGAACAGAAAAUCUGCCCUUCUGGAAUACCAAAUGCAAAAUUAAAGUGACUACAAGCAGAAUUUGGAGAAAAAAAUAAAAGAUGCAAUAUAGUUUUUAAAAUCAUUGUUAAAAUAUAAUGAGUCUGUACUUUGCUUAAACAAUAAAAAAGUCUUCGAUUUAUA